AGUAAGUGCUUAACAAAUACCAUCAUCAUCAUUAUUAUUAAGUGCUGAAGUAGAUACAAGUUACUCGGGCUGGACAUAGCCCAUCUCACACAUGGGCCUCACAGUCUUCAUUUUCCAGGUGAGGCGAGGCACCGAGGAGUUAAGGGAUUUACCAUCACACAGCAGACAAGUGACAGAAUCGAAAUCCGAACCUAGAUCCUUGAGUCCUCGGCCCAUGCUCUGUCUUCUAGGGCAUGCUGCUUCUCGCAGUGCUUUGUGUGCAGCUGUCCAGGAGAAGACAAGGAAGACAAUCGAUGGUUGGUGAUGCAGCCGGGAGUUAACAGCGGCUAUGCACAGAUCUGGGUGAGGUCAAGAAAAAGAUGACAGACUCUCGGGUCAAGACCUCCGGCUCCUUGCGCAGACGUCCUCACCCCCCGCCCG